AGUCCUUUUAUUGUGUAUAUAUAUGUUUCUCUGUCAGGAACAUUUGUAGCAUUAACACAUACAUUGUAGUAUUAUUAUUACCAUGACUAAAUCUCUGUCUACUCCUUUUAGCCAAGAUGUUGUGUGUGCAUCAGUGGGACCCAUACUGGCCUAAUUGGAGCCACCCAGUCCAUUGCAGAAUACUUUAAUAGGAUAGAAAAGUGAGUUGAUACUUAAUAUUUUUAUUUAUUUAUGUGUGUCUCUUUACAUGGCCUAUUUUUUUAAAGAGGAAAAGUACUGUUUGACUUGGUUAAAGCGCAUUGCCUUUGCCCACGCGUUUGCAGACAAAAAGGCCUGUCGAGAUGAGGAGAAUCGCAUCAUCUGGAGGGACGUUCUUUUACCUAUUCCAGAAGAUAUAGACCUGAAAGUGGAAGUAAGAAAUCUGUCAUGUUCAGAAAGACCCUUCAGUCCUCUACUCUUGUUUGGAUGAUUGUAGCGAGGGAAAUGUAUCCCACACAGGAGGACAGGAUGAUAAGGACCUCUAAAAGAUUACGCUGGAGAACUCAACCAAUACUGGGAACAGUUUCCCACUUUCUCCAGUCCUAUCAUGAUCCUCCAGUAUCUCACAAGAUUGAGGGCUCAGAAGUAUUGUUGUGUUUGUUUUAUUCUGUCCUCAGAUGGGGAGGAUAACAUGUCCUCUGCUGCUGGUUGUUGGACAAGAUGAUCAGAAUAACGCCGCUGUCGAAUCAGCUGAUGAUGUGUGUUACUGUAUGCAUCAUAAAUGCUGUUUAAAUACAAAAGAACAAUGAGUAGAGAUUUAUUUUAGAGAAAAUAUGAAAUGAUCGUCGUGCUAAUCUCCAUCCUUUUCUCCUCCUCAGAUGAUGGAGAAAGCAGGGAACAGUCACCUGCUGACCACUCUGUCCUACCCUGGAGCUGGUCACCUGAUUGAAACAACGUAUAUAGUCCCCAUUGCAAGUGUUGGUGCUGUGGGGAGGCCUCAUCAAACCUCACGCCGUUGCACAGGAAGACUCAUGGGAGUAGAUUCUAGGUUUUCUGCGAGAGCAUCUCUGUCACACCCCAUGUUCAGUCCAGAUUGUGAGCAUUGUCGAAGGUGUUUUCUGAGAGCAUCUCUUCCAGAGCGUUGAACCACAGUCUGGAUUUUGAGUUCAAAAAUAUGCUGAAUUGAACACAUUAACAUAGAAACAGCCAAUCAACCAUGAUAACAAUGAAACAUUUCUUUAACAUUCUGGGUUAUAUACACAGAUCUCAACUUAGUUUUUAGUCCUUUAUUUUAUUUUACUAGGCAAGUCGGUUAAGAACAAAUUCUUAUUUUCUUAUUUUCAAUGGGAACAGUGGGUUAACUGCCUUGGGUCAACGACAAAUUCUACCUUGUCAGCUCGGGGGUUUGAACUUGCAACCUAGUCCGCCGCUCUAACCACUAGGCUACCCUGCCGCCACUGAAUUCAACAACUAUUGUUACCGUACUUACUAAUAAGAAUGAUCAAAUGUACUAAAUUAUUCUUGAUUUCAAAUAUACACCCUGUUAUUAAGUGUGUUAAACUACAGUAGAACUACGUAUAUGACUGAUUAGUUGAUAUUGAUGCCAUAAAAUGAAUGGAAACUGAAUGUAUUGUACUGAACUGUAUUGUUUUUGCAAAUGUUACAUUUUAGUUAUUUAGCACACGCUCUUAUCCAGAGAGAGUUACAGAAUGUCACGUGUUGACGCUGGCGAGACGAAGCAGGUACGGGGAGUCAAACAUUUAAUAAAGAACGGCCAUGGAACGAGACAGGAACAGCGUCAGCAAACUGAUAAUACAGACAAAAAACAAUACAAUGCAGCAGCGGAGAACAGAGCUGAGGAACUGACAAAUAUAAGGGAGGAAAUUAACAGGUGAUAAGUGACUCCAUGUGAGUCCGAUAACGCUGAUGUGCGUGACGAGGGAAGGCAGGUGUGCGUGAUGGAUGGCAGGAGUGCGUGAUGCAGGGCAACCUGGCACCCUCAAGCGCCAGGAGGAGGGAAGAGCGGGAGCAGACGUGACACAGGAGCAAUUAGGGUGAAGUGCCUUGCUCAAGGGCACAUCAACAGAAUCUCGGGGAUUCAACCCAACGACCGUUUAGUUACUGGUCCAACGCUCUGAACCAUUAG
rnacentral:lncRNA from 13 species